GAUGAACGCUGGCGGCGUGCCUAAUACAUGCAAGUCGAGCGAAGCGGGGACGGGUAAGUAACACGAGGCUAACCUCCUCUACGGCUGGGAUCACUUCGGGAAACCUGAGAUAAACCAGAUCCUUAUCGAUGGAUCCUCGCUGCAUUAGCUAGUUGGUAAGGUAACGGCUUACCAAGGCAACGAUACGUAGCCGACCUGAGAGGAAGAACGGCCACAAUGGAACUGAGACACGGUCCAGACGCCUACGGUAGGCAGCAGUAGGGAAUCUUACGCAAUGGGCGAAAGCCUGACGGAGCAACGCCGCGUGAGUGAUGAAGGUCUUCGGAUCGUAAAACUCUGUUAUGAGGGAAGCGGUACCUAAUCAAAAAGCAACGGCUAACUACGUGCCAGCAGCCGCGGUAAUUC
rnacentral:rRNA from 1 species